UACGUAGGGGGCGAGCGUUACCCGGAAUCACUGGGCGUAAAGGGAGCGUAGGUGGCCUAACAUGUCAACUGUGAAAACCCGGAGCUCAACUCCGGACUUGCAGUUGAAACUGGUAGGCUUGAGGACGGUAGAGGAAGACGGAACUGCCAGUGUAGGGGUAAAAUCCUUAGAUAUUGGCAGGAACGCCGGUGACGAAGGUGGUUUUCUGGGCCGGUUCUGACACUGAUGCUCGAAAGCCAGGGGAGCGAAC
rnacentral:rRNA from 1 species